rnacentral:rRNA from 1 species
UAAGUCCGUUGUGAAAUCUGGUGGCUCAACCAUACAGGCUAUUGUUCAAACUGUACAACUUGAGAGUGGUAGAGGUCACUGGAAUUUCUUGUGUAGGAGUGAAAUCCGUAGAUAUAAGAAGGAACACCAAUGGCGUAGGCAGGUGACUGGACCAUUUCUGACGCUAAGGCACGAAAGCGUGGGGAGCGAACCGGAUUAGAUACCCGGGUAGUCCACGCCGUAAACGAUGGAUACUG